GGUGUCUACAGUGAGUACAGAAUGAUAUAUUCUUUCAUCUUUUACUAAAGAAUACCGUGUGUUCUCCACUCAAACCUCAUAUGCCAAUUUCUGAAGGGUAUUCCUCGUUGAAUACCC